GUUGUAUGGUUAAGUGACUAAGCGUACACGGUGGAUGCCUGGGCAGUCAGAGGCGAUGAAGGACGUGCUAACCUGCGAUAAGCCAAGAGAAGAUGGUAAGAAUCACUAUACUCUUGGAUUUCCGAAUGGGGAAACCCAGCUGCAUAAGCAGUUAUCGUAACGUGAAUACAUAGCGUUGCGAGGCGAACCGGGGGAACUGAAACAUCUAAGUACCCCGAGGAAGAGAAAUCAACCGAGAUUCCGGCAGUAGCGGCGAGCGAACCCGGAUUAGCCCUUAAGCUAGUUUUGCGACAGGUGAAUGAGCUGGAAAGCUCAGCGAUACAGGGUGAUAGCCCCGUAACCGGUAGCGCAUUUCGAGUGAAAUCGAGUAGGACGGGACACGUGAUAUCCUGUCUGAACAUGGGGGGACCAUCCUCCAAGGCUAAAUACUCCUGACUGACCGAUAGUGAACCAGUACCGUGAGGGAAAGGCGAAAAGAACCCC
rnacentral:rRNA from 1 species